UGAGAGCAGCUCAAAGAGGCCUAUG
rnacentral:misc_RNA from 1 species